rnacentral:rRNA from 1 species
CAGCAGCCGCGGUAAUACGUAGGUGGCAAGCGUUGUCCGGAAUUAUUGGGCGUAAAGGGCUCGCAGGCGGUUUCUUAAGUCUGAUGUGAAAGCCCCCGGCUCAACCGGGGGGGGUCAUUGGAAACUGGGAAACUUGAGUGCAGAAGAGGAGAGUGGAAUUCCACGUGUAGCGGUGAAAUGCGUAGAGAUGUGGAGGAACACCAGUGGCGAAGGCGACUCUCUGGUCUGUAACUGACGCUGAGGAGCGAAAGCGUGGGGAGCGAACAGGAUUAGAUACCCGAGUAGUCCCUGUCUCUUAUAC